rnacentral:lncRNA from 1 species
UUAGUGUGAGCAACAAGGCUGUUUAUUCACUUGGGUGCAAGUGGGCUGAGUCAGAGAAAGGAGUCAGUGAAGGGUGAGAACUGGUUUUAUAGGUUUGGGGUAGAUAGUGGAAAGUUACAGUUAGGGGCAGUUUUUUUGGGCAGGGGAAGAAUGUCCCAAGGUGCAUAGUCACGAGGUGGGGGGAAGUCACAAGGCACGAUAUCACAAGGUGGAUGGAUUAGUUGGGGAAGGGCAGGAACAUAUCACAAGGUGGAUGGGUUAGUUGGGGUAGGGCAGGAACAUGUCACAAGGUGGAUGGAUUAGUUGGGGAAGGGCAGGAACAUGUCACAAGGUGGAUGGAUUAGUUGGGGAAGGCAGGAACAUGUCACAAGGUGGAUGGAUUAGUUGGGGAAGGGCAGGAACAUAUCACAAUGGUGGAUGGAUUAGUUGGGGAAGGGCAGGAACAUGUCACAAGG